GCCUGUAAUCCCAGCUACUCAGGAGGCUGAGAGAAAAAAGAACACGUGAAACACUACUUAUUCAUCUCCUGGGUCUGAGCAGUAGAUGUCAGGGUCAAGAGGGAACUGCAGUCGGAAGAUAGCAGAAGAGCUGUUAAGACAAGUCUCAAAGAGAAGGACGAAAAGGUGCAACGAGAGAACCCAAGUUUAAGAUAGAGAAGAGCAUUCAAACACUGCAACCUGAGACCUUGGAUAAUGGGCAGCACAAGACUAUAAUCCAUGAAAGGACAAAAACAAAGGAGCAAGGAACUGAAAACAGCCCAGGUGUCCCUUAAUAGAUGAAGUCACAAACCACUGAAACAUGCAACAAUAUGGAUGAAUCUCAAAAACAUUAUGCUGAGUAAAAAGAAAGCU